AUAGGGGGAUAAUGGACAGCAGGAGGGCUGUUAGGGGAUGACACAGGGCAGUGAUAUUUCAGGAUAAUCUUCCCAACAGGAAAGCACAGACCAAGAACUCAGCUCCCAUCUAGGAAGGCCAACACUGAGCACAGAAAACUUUCUCUAGUGAGCCAUGGGUUCCAGGCUCCUUCUUUGGAUGCUACUUUGUCUCAUGGGAACAGGACCAGUACAGGCAGCAGAAGUUACCCAAACACCAAGACACCUGAUCAAAACAAGAGGGCAACAAGUGACACUGAAUUGUACCCCAGCCUCUGGCCAUGACCGUGUGUUGUGGUACCAACAGGGCAUGGACCACGGUCUCCAGUUCCUCUUUGAUUAUUACUUGGAAUCACAGAGUGCAAAAGGAAAUGUCCCAGACCGGUUCUCAGCUCACCAAUUUAGAGACUACCGCUCUGAGCUGAGCGUGAGUGCCCUGGAACUAGAGGACUCUGCUAUGUAUCUCUGUGCCAGCAGCUUCUAGCACAGCCCUGCCGAGUCCCUAGCCUUCUGUGCACAAACCUCUUUCCUCAU